GAAUUUGGAGUAUGAAAGUGCAGUCCAGACUAGCCUGUCUGAACCCGGUCCAUCCGGCCUAAGUACCAGUCUUCCUAUUGAGCCACAACUUGCGCAGGCUGCAAUGGAUACUGGAGACAACAGUGAAGUACAGGAGAGCCUUUAUGUCACCGACCCAUCCAGCCUAGCUGCUGUUCUUCAAUUGGAGGUGACACCAGCGCAGAAAUUGCAAAGGUCAUCGAAUGUGGAAG
rnacentral:lncRNA from 1 species